GCAUAACUGACCGUGCUUGGUGUCCUUUUGGGGACCGAAAAAGGGAAUGCAGUAGGGAUCACGGUUUACCACCCCCGAUCUGCAGCCGCCCCCGCGACUGUAAGCGGUGAGCUGUUGUCACAACGCCACUUGCCCCCAAAAGGGCUGGGAAGGCAGACAAAGGCCACGACCCGCGAGCCAGGAGACCUGCCAGGCAAAGGUGAAACUA
rnacentral:ncRNA from 2 species